rnacentral:rRNA from 1 species
UACGUAGGGGGCAAGCGUUGUCCGGAUUUAUUGGGCGUAAAGAGCGUGUAGGCGGCCAGGUAGGUCUGCUGUGAAAACUCGAGGCUUAACCUCGAGCUGUCGGCGGAAACCAUCUGGCUAGAGUCCGGAAGAGGAGAAUGGAAUUCCCGGUGUAGAGGUGAAAUUCGUAGAUAUCAGGAAGAACACCGAUGGCGAAGGCAGCUCUCUGGGACGGUACUGACGCUGAGGAGCGAAAGCGUGGGGAGCGAACAGG